UGAGGAAUUUUCCACAAUGGGCGAAAGCCUGAUGGAGCGACGCCGCGUGAAGGAUGAAGCUUUUCGGAGUGUAAACUUCUUUUAUGUGGGAAGAUUAUGACGGUACCACAUGAAUAAGGACCGGCUAACUACGUGCCAGCAGCCGCGGUAAUACGUAGGGUCCGAGCGUUAUCCGGAAUUACUGGGCGUAAAGAGUUCGUAGGCGGAUUUUUAAGUCGGGUGUUAAAUAUGCAGGCUCAACUUGCAUGCCGCACCCGAUACUGGGAGUCUUGAGAGUGGAAGAGGUAAGCGGAAUUUCCGGUGGAGCGGUAAAAUGCGUAGAUAUCGGAAAGAACACCAAUGGCGAAGGCAGCUUACUGGGCCAUUUCUGACGCUGAGGAACGAAAGCGUGGGGAGCGAUCG
rnacentral:rRNA from 1 species